rnacentral:rRNA from 1 species
AGCGAACGCUGGCGGCGUGCUUAACACAUGCAAGUCGAGUGCGCAGUCUUCUGUAGCAAUACAGGAGAUCGGCGCACGGCGCACGGGUGCGUAACACGUGGGUAACCUGCCCUCCAAAGGGGGAUAACCCGCCGAAAGGCGGGCUAAUACCGCAUGACAUUCCGGUGGCUUCGGCCGCUGGAAUCAAAGCCCGCAAGGGCGUUGGAGGAGGGGCCCGCGGCCGAUUAGCUUGUUGGCGAGGUAACGGCUCACCAAGGCUUUGAUCGGUAG